AGCAUACAGACCAAGACAACCAGUGGAUGUCCACAGCAUACAGACCAAGACAACCAGUGGAUGUCCACCAGCAUACAGUUCAAGACAACCAGUGGAUGUCCACCAGCAUACAGGUCAAGACAACCAGUGGAUGUCCACCAGCAUACAGACCAAGACAACCAGUGGAUGUCCACAGCAUACAGACCAAGACAACCAGUGGAUGUCCACCAGCAUACAGACCAAGACAACCUGUGGAUGUCCACCAGCAUACAGGUCAAGACAACCAGUGGAUGUCCACCAGCAUACAGACCAAGACAACCAG